UUUCCUGUCUUUUCUUUUUCUCUCUCUCUCUCUCUCUCUCUUUCCCCUCACGCACGUUCUUUUCUUUUUCUUCUUCAUUUUCCUUUUCUUUCUUCUUUCUUCCCCUCUUCUCCUCCAUUCCGCAUGCUGCCCUCCUCUUCCCCAUUUUCUCUCUUCCUCUCUUCUCCCCGCACGCCCAAUAAGAAGAAAAACAUAGAGAGAUCGUGAGAGAGAAAGUGACCCAGUCCGUAAGAGUGAUGCAGUCCGAGAAUUAGAAGGGGAUUUUGGUGAUUUCUGGCCACUGGUGGAUGAGGAGCAAAUCCUGUAUUUUUAAGGAUAGUGUCCGGAUUGGAGACUUCAAUGGGUUCUCCAAUGUAGAGUUCGAGUUGGAGUCCAAUGCAGCCAAUACGUUUAUACUUUGGCUGCAGGUACUCUGGUCGUAAGGGAGAGUGUUGUAGAUGUGCACUUGGGAUAAUAUGACCGAAGCUCGCCGCGACGGUCGUAAUGGUUGGACCACAGUUGUCCACUAUUUUAUAGGUUUGUUUAUGGCUGUGACGCUUUGGUCACUUGUUAUUGUAUAAGCCAUUCCUGUUGUUUAAAUAUUAUGUUAAUAAGACUUAAACAUAUAGAUGUUAAAUGGCUCUGUAUCGUAAAUAAUUUGUAAUAGAUGUAUAAGCUAUGCUUUUCGCUAUUCAGGUUUAUGUUUCCGCUGCACA